rnacentral:rRNA from 1 species
AACGAACGCUGGCGGCAUGCCUAACACAUGCAAGUCGAACGAGACCUUCGGGUCUAGUGGCGCACGGGUGCGUCACGCGUGGGAACCUGACCUUAGGUUCGGACUAACUCCCCGACAGGGGUGCUAAUACCGGAUAAUGUCUUCGGACCAAAGAUUUAUCGCAUUUGGUGGGGCCGGAGUUGGAUUAGCUAGUUGGUAGGGUAAAAGCCUACUAAGGCGACGAUCCAUAGCUGGUUUCAGAGAAUGGUCAGCCACACUGGGACUGAGACACGGCCCAGACUCCUACGGGAGGCAGCAGUGCGUAAUAUUGCACAAUGGGCGAAAGCCUGAUCCAGCAAUGCCGCGUGAGUGAUGAAGGCCUUAGGGUUGUAAAGCUCUUUUACCCGGGAUGAUAAUGACAGUACCGGGAGAAUAAGCUCCGGCUAACUCCGUG